CCUACGGUGGGCAGCAGUGGGGAAUAUUGCACAAUGGGGGAAACCCUGAUGCAGCAACGCCGCGUGAGUGAAGAAGUAUUUCGGUAUGUAAAGCUCUAUCAGCAGGGAAGAAGAUGACGGUACCUGAAUAAGAAGCCCCGGCUAACUACGUGCCAGCAGCCGCGGUAAUACGUAGGGGGCAAGCGUUAUCCGGAUUUACUGGGUGUAAAGGGAGCGCAGACGGCAGUGCAAGUCUGGAGUGAAAGCCCGGGGCCCAACCCCGGAACUGCUCUGGAAACUGUGCGGCUAGAGUACUGGAGGGGCAGGCGGGAUUCCUAGGUUAGGGGGGGAAUGCGUUGAUAAUAGGAGGAAAACCAGUGGGGAAGGCGGGCUGCUGGACAGUAAAUGACGUUGGGGCUCGAAAGGGUGGGGAGCAAACAGGAUUAGAUACCCCAGUAGUC
rnacentral:rRNA from 1 species